ensembl:lncRNA novel transcript
GGGAUCCUGCAUCUGAUGUGGCCCUUCUGCUGUGCCUGUGGCUCCCCAGUUGCCUCUGGGCCAUCCCAGCCUCAGUUUCCCCAUCUCUGUCAUGAAUGACACCAUGGAGGUUCCGUGAGGUUAAAUGUGAUCUCACAGUUUACAUUUGAUGGAGCUGGGCUUUGAACCUGGGGACCGCAUCCUCUCACCCCUCUCCUUUUCUGCCACCUUGGCUGGGAAGUGGAGGAGUUCUGACUCACAGCCCAAAGUCCUGUCUACACCGGAUGCCAAGAGAAGAACCCGGCAUACAGCAGACGGUGAAGAUGCAGGGUCCUGAGAGUCAGCUUGGGGAGGUGGCUCCAGCAUGGAGACAGUGUCGGCUCCACUUUAGGGAGAAGGAAACUGAGGUCCAGGAAAGUCGGGUGGCUUUCCAAGGGCAUCCCCCAUGGAGGGAUGUGGUGAGGGCUGGCCCAGGCCUUCCAGCUUCAUCCCCACUGCUCCCACUAUACGGGAAGUCUUGUGGGACGUAUCCUGUGGCUGAACCUCUUCCCAUCCAGCAGCAUGGGAACCUCUUUCCAUCUUCUUUCUCAUGAAGAAAACCAAAAACAAGGAUUUCCACUUCUCGGAGCAAGUCUUUACUCCACUCUUCUAAUCCACUGUGUCCUGGACCCCACCCAUAUGGGGCCAUCCUCCUGUGCCCAGCACCAACUCCGUCCCAGGGACCUUGGCUGCAAUCACCUUCCUCUCUCACAAUUCACAAUUUUCUGGAUUUUUUCCUCAUGUCGUUUCCACUGACUCCUCACCAAAGCUCAUCUCUCUCAUGCUUCCCAGCCCUUGAUCUGGACAUCAUAAGGCUGUAGAAAGAUCCUAGGAUAGAGACCGAGAAAGCUGAGUUCUAGAACUUUCCAUCAACCAAAAGCAUUAUUUUUAACAAUAAAAAGAUUUGCAGGUUUGAGGAUGGCUUCAGAGAAAGCUGCAGGAUUCCAAAGCAGAAUGUAAUCUUUGGAAGCCCAGGUCGUCCCCUCAGCCACCGGGAAUUAGGCAGGAGGCGUCCGAGCUGGCUUUACACCAUACAGGGUGUCAUCUGUUUCGGUGUUGUGUGUGCCUGUCAGACAUCCAAGCCUGUCCUGGACACCCCUCCAGUGACACCUCAUUAACAGAGUGUAUCCUGUCUCAAGGCAUGAGUUUGCUUGUCAUUGUCAUCAUGGAUUUCAGAUGGUGGUAUAGUCUCCUGGGAAAGAGAGGGAGGAACCAAGAAAGAAGCCAGGAAGAGAGGGAGGGAAAGAAGAGGGUGGCUAAAUGUUUGAAGGCCUACUAUGUGCAAACCCUUGUGGUCAC